rnacentral:lncRNA from 1 species
GGCUUCUCUUGCUCUAACUGAUAGCACUAGCAGUACUAUACUAGGUCUCUCGCUACUAAGCUCUGGAGGUGUGUUCUUGUUCUGUAUUAUGAUUCUGAUAUCACUCUCGGUCAUACCGGCUGCAAUAUUUGCUUGCGGUCAUUCCUCUCGCAAGAAGAAACCACAUGGCGGCGGUGGGAGUGCAUAUGUUGGUGGUUAUUGGGACGGUGGCGGUGGCGGUGGAAACCAUCAUGGAGGUGGUGGACAUCACGGAGGUGGAGGACAUCACGGAGGUGGUGGACAUCACGGAGGUGGCGGACAUGACGGCGGUGGCGGACAUGGCGGCGGCGGUGGCGGCUGUGGUGGGGGUGGUGGCUGACAUCAUUUCGCUGGCGUAUUGACAUUAUCUUUGAUAAUGUACUGUUUCAUUUUGAUCGAGUUGUGAUAUCUUUGUAUCCUAAAUCUGCUAAAUAAAUAUCGUAUCAUCUGCGGAAUUAGAGUACGUACCGCACUGUGUAUAAAAUUAAUGGAAUAAAUACCAAAUGAAAGACUGUAUGUAGAAUUCAGGUCUAUGUAUGUUCUUGUUUCAGGUGACAGUUGAAAGGAAAUUGUCGCAACUCAACAAAGAAAAGAAGAAGAUUGAUAUAUAAAAGCUAAGAAUCACAGUGACUUUGAUGACUGAGAGUAUGAGACAACGACUUGUACGUUGUAUACAAGGCCCUCUGCAAUUCUGCAUUUAUCAUUUUAUCUUAAUUUCUAAUACCGUAAAAGCUAACUUGAGUUGGCUAACUAUAUAUAUACUUUUACCCUUAACAAUGGUACGAAUUCAGACUCAAAUUCAUAAAUAUGUAUCAACAGAUCUCUUUCUAACUAGUUGAAAGCUGCAUACAUGCAUGUGUUCUUAAUCAGCUGCAUGCUGAUCCUGAUAUCCCUCUCAGGCAUACCAGUUUACAAAUGAUAUUUAUGAUUCAUCAAUAACUUCGAUC